GAUGAACGCUGACAGAAUGCUUAACACAUGCAAGUCUUUGGCGAAGCUGUGCUUGCACAGCCUAGCCAAGGCGGACGGGUGAGUAACGCGUAAGGAACUUGCCCUGCAGUCAGGGAUAACAGACGGAAGCGACUGAUAAGACCUGGUAAAGUCAGGCGGACUCAUGUCCAGCCUGAUGAAAAGUGAUGCUGCAGGAGAGCCUUGCGUCCUAUUAGCUUGUUGGUGGGGUAACGGCCCACCAAGGCGAUGAUAGGUAGCCGGCCUGAGAGGGUGGACGGCCACAAGGGGACUGAGAUACGGCCCUUACUCCUACGGGAGGCAGCAGUGGGGAAUAUUGGACAAUGGGGGCAACCCUGAUCCAGCAAUUCUGUGCGCACGAUGAAGGUUUUCGGAUUGUAAAGUGCUUUCAGCAGGGAAGAAAAAAAUGACGGUACCUGCAGAAGAAGCGACGGCUAAAUACGUG
rnacentral:rRNA from 1 species